GCCUUAGUUCAGUGGGAGAACAACUGCUUUGCGUGCAGAAGGUCCCAGGUUCAAUCCCCGGGACU